rnacentral:rRNA from 1 species
GUGUUAUCCGGAAUCACUGGGCGUAAAGCGUCUGUAGGUGGUUUAGUAAGUCUAUUGUUAAAUCUUGAGGCUCAACUUCAAAUCAGCAAUGGAAACUGCUAGACUCGAGUAUGGUAGAGGUAAGAGGAAUUUCCAGUGGAGCGGUGAAAUGCGUAGAUAUUGGAAAGAACACCGAUGGCGAAGGCAUCUUACUGGGCCAUUACUGACACUCAGAGACGAAAGCUAGGGUAGCAAAUGGGAUUAGAUACCCCAGUAGUCCUAGCAGUAAACGAUGGAUACUAGAUGUUGCCCGUAUCAACCCGUGCAGUGUCAAAGCUAACGCGUUAAGUAUCCCGCCUGGGAAGUAUGCUCGCAAGAGUGAAACUCAAAGGAACUGACGGGGGCCCGCACAAGCGGUGGAGCAUGUGGUUUAAUUUGAUGCAACGCGAAGAACCUUACCAGGGUUUGACAUGACAUGAAUUCUUCUGAGAAGAAGAAGUGCCUUUUAGGAACAUGUACACAGGUGGUGCAUGGCUGUCGUCAGCUCGUGUCGUGAGAUGUUGGGUUAAGUCCCGCAACGAGCGCAACCCUUGUUUAUAGUUAUUUUUCUAGAAAGACUGCCGGUUAUAAGCCGGAGGAAGGCGGGGACGACGUCAAGUCAGCAUGCCCCUUACACCCUGGGCUACACACGUGCUACAUUGGGUAAGACAAUGAGUCGCGAGCCUGUGAAGGUCAGCAAAUCCAUAAACUUACUCUAAGUUCGGAUUGUAGGCUGCAACUCGCU